rnacentral:rRNA from 1 species
AAUAGAUACCCCGGUAGUCCACGCCCUAAACGAUGUCAACUGGUUGUUGGGAAUUUACUUUCUCAGUAACGAAGCUAACGCGUGAAGUUGACCGCCUGGGGAGUACGGCCGCAAGGUUAAAACUCAAAGGAAUUGACGGGGACCCGCACAAGCGGUGGAUGAUGUGGUUUAAUUCGAUGCAACGCGAAAAACCUUACCCACCUUUGGCAUGUAUGGAAGAUCGCAGAGACGCGAUUGUGCUCGAAAGAGAGCCAUAACACAGGUGCUGCAUGGCUGUCGUCAGCUCGUGUCGUGAGAUGUUGGGUUAAGUCCCGCAACGAGCGCAACCCUUGUCAUUAGUUGCUACAUUUAGUUGGGCACUCUAAUGAGACUGCCGGUGACAAACCGGAGGAAGGUGGGGAUGACGUCAAGUCCUCAUGGCCCUUAUAGGUGGGGCUACACACGUCAUACAAUGGCUGGUACGAAGGGUUACCAACCCGCGAGGGGGAGCCAAUCCCAUAAAGCCAGUCGUAGUCCGGAUCGCAGUCUGCAA